UUCCAUGAAACCGGAUCCGUUAGGGAGGAGGAGGAGCAGGAUAUACACUCAAGACGGUCCAAGGAAAUUAUAUACUCGAUCAAACAACGGGGAAAAAAAAAAACCCAAACUUCUGAGCCACUAAAUUAAGGAGGAAAGGAAUACAAGUGGGGGGACACAGACAGACAGACACACACACACACACACAGAGAGAGAGAGAGAGAGAGAGAGAGAGAGAGAGAGAGAGAGAGNNNNNNNNNNNNNNNNNNNNGAGAGAGAGAGAGAGAGAGAGAGAGAGAGAUGGAGUGGAAAACGGUAUCACGGGAAGGGAUCGCCACCACUCCUAGGCCGCCUGAAUGUCUGUUCUCGAGCCGCCUGAAGCCUCUCUCAAGGGACUCCUCCUACGUUUCCCCGCCAUGGCGUAGGCCUCGUAGCUUGCUCGCUGGAUCCAUCCUGGCCUCGUUGCUCUCCUCGGGCUUGAGGGAGUCGGAGUUUUGGCAAGAGUGGUUGGCGUGAGGAGGAGGAGAAGGGACGAGGGUGGAAGGAUGAUCGGGGCCGGCAGAACUCGUCCCGGUCUUCUUAAGGAGUCUCCUGUGCGGAAAAUAUAAUUGAAGGAUCUAACUGUAACUAGCUUGUCCAAGGCAUGGACAGUCUUGUAAAUUUUCCGUAGGUUAUCGGUUGCAUCAGAUGGAUGUUCUCUCGACAGGAAAUUUAAUGCAGGACCAUUUGCUUUCUAUUUUUUAGAUUCAGAUCCCUAACUAAUCCCCUUACUAUCCGGUGCCGGCACCCGGUGUCAGGACUAGAUCCAGUCUUGCCCCCGUUAUCUUUCAUUUGCAGCUAAUUUUUGAUUGAUUUUAAGUUUUCGAUUCCUU
rnacentral:lncRNA from 1 species